UAAUACGUAGGGGGCCAGCGUUGCUCGGAAUUACUGGGCGUAAAGGGUUCGUAGGCGGUGCGGCAAGUUGGGAGUGAAAUCUCUGGGCUUAACCCAGAGGCUGCUUUCAAAACUGCCGUGCUCGAGUGCGAGAGAGGUCAGUGGAAUUGCAGGUGUAGCGGUGAAAUGCGUAGAUAUCUGCAGGAACACCCGUGGCGAAGGCGGCUGACUGGAUCGCAACUGACGCUGAGGAACGAAAGCUAGGGGAGCAAACAGGAUUAGAUACCCUGGUAGUCCUAGCCCUAAACCAUCAGGACUUGGGGUGGCCCGCGUAGGCGGGUCGUCCCGUAGCUAACGCGUUAAGUCCUGCGCCUGGGGAGUACGGUCGCAAGACUGAAACUCAAAGGAAUUGACGGGGGCCCGCACAAGCGGUGGAACAUGUGGUUCAAUUCGACGCAACGCGAAGAACCUUACCUGGGCUUGAACCGCUACUGACCAACGGUAGAAAUAUCGUCUUCCCGCAAGGGACAGUAGUAGAGGUGCUGCAUGGCUGUCGUCAGCUCGUGCCGUGAGGUGUUGGGUUAAGUCCCGCAACGAGCGCAACCCUUAUUCGUAGUUGCCACCCGCAAGGGGGAACUCUACGAGGACUGCUCCGGAUAACGGAGAGGAAGGUGGGGAUGACGUCAAGUCAGCACGGCCUUUAUGUCCAGGGCUACACACGUGUUACAAUGCGCGGCACAGACUGUUGCGAACCCGCGAGGGGGAGCUAAUCGGAAAAAACCGCGCUCAGUUCGGAUUGCAGUCUGCAACUCGACUGCAUGAAGUCGGAGUUGCUAGUAACCGCAGGUCAGCACACUGCGGUGAAUACGUUCCCGGGCCUUGCACUCACCGCCCGUCACAUCACCCGAGUCUGGUGCUCCCGAAGUCGCUGGCCGAACCCGUAAGGGACGGAGGCGCCGAAGGAGUGCCCGGUAAGGGGGGUG
rnacentral:rRNA from 1 species